rnacentral:rRNA from 2 species
UUGCCUACGGGCGGCAGCAGUGGGGAAUCUUGGACAAUGGGCGAAAGCCUGAUCCAGCCAUGCCGCGUGAGUGAAGAAGGCCUUAGGGUUGUAAAGCUCUUUUGCCAGGGACGAUAAUGACGGUACCUGGAGAAUAAGCCCCGGCAAACUUCGUGCCAGCAGCCGCGGUAAUACGAAGGGGGCUAGCGUUGUUCGGAAUUACUGGGCGUAAAGCGCACGUAGGCGGGUCGUUAAGUUAGAGGUGAAAUCCCGGGGCUCAACCCCGGAACUGCCUUUGAUACUGGCGAUCUAGAGGUCGAGAGAGGUGAGUGGAAUUCCGAGUGUAGAGGUGAAAUUCGUAGAUAUUCGGAAGAACACCAGUGGCGAAGGCGGCUCACUGGCUCGAUACUGACGCUGAGGUGCGAAAGCGUGGGGAGCAAACAGGAUUAGAUACCCCAGUAGUCU